rnacentral:rRNA from 1 species
UACAGAGGUCCCGAGCGUUGUUCGGAUUCACUGGGCGUAAAGGGUGCGUAGGCGGUUCUGAAAGUCUGAUGUGAAAUCUCCAGGCCCAACCUGGAAACUGCAUUAGAAACUACAGGGCUAGAGGCUUGGAGGGGGAACUGGAAUUCUCGGUGUAGCAGUGAAAUGCGUAGAGAUCGAGAGGAACACCAGUGGCGAAGGCGAGUUCCUGGACAAGUCCUGACGCUGAGACGCGAAAGCGUGGGGAGCAAACAGG